UAAAGGAGAGAUCCGGCAUAGGAUGGACAUGCGUCGCAUUAGGUAGACGGCGGGGUAACGGCCCACCGUGCCGACGAUGCGUAGGGGUUCUGAGAGGAAGGCCCCCCACACUGGUACUGAGACACGGACCAGACUCCUACGGGAGGCAGCAGUGAGGAAUAUUGGUCAAUGGCCGAGAGGCUGAACCAGCCAAGUCGCGUGAGGGAAGAAUGUCCUAAGGAUUGUAAACCUCUUUUGUCGGGGAGCAAAAAGGCUCUGCGGAGUCGUAUUGAGAGUACCCGAAGAAAAAGCAUCGGCUAACUCCGUGCCAGCAGCCGCGGUAAUACGGAGGAUGCGAGCGUUAUCCGGAUUUAUUGGGUUUAAAGGGUGCGCAGGCGGCGUGUCAAGCAAGCGGUAAAAUAGCGGGGCUCAACCCCGUCGAGCCGUUUGAACUGGCGCGCUUGAGUUCAGGCGAGGUAGGCGGAAUUCGUGGUGUAGCGGUGAAAUGCAUAGAUAUCACGAAGAACUCCGAUUGCGAAGGCAGCUUACCAGUCUGCGACUGACGCUCAGGCACGAAAGUGUGGGUAUCGAACAGGAUUAGAUACCCUGGUAGUCCACACAG
rnacentral:rRNA from 1 species